CUGCUGUGGAGGUCUCCGUGACUGAAGCAGGAGAGGAAAGUCCGGGCUUCAUAGGGCAGGGUGCCAGGUAACGCCUGGGCGGUGAAAGCCGACGGAAAGUGCAGCAGAGAGUAGACCGCCUCAUUCGUGAGGUAAGGGUGAAAGGGUGCGGUAAGAGCGCACCGCGUGUCUGGUAACAGUUCACGGCAUGGCAAACCCCACCAGAAGCAAGACCAAAUAGGAAUCCUAGGUGCGGCCCGUACUGGAUUCCUAUUUGGUCUUGCUUCU
rnacentral:RNase_P_RNA from 1 species